AGCAGACGGCGUGGUUGUGACCAGCAGUCCCAGCUCCCUGCUGGGAUAGCAGCACGUGGCGUGGCGGGCAGGCCGGGAGGCAGGAGACCUACGGUGUGGUCCCUCAAACCAGUACCAGAUGCCUUUAUGCUUCUGGCAAGCUUGGGAGCUCCAGGCAGGGACCGAGCUGUGCGACUACGGGGAGCGCCACGUCAUACGGGAUGCUCUGCAGCGAGUCCUGGCCCCAGCCUAAGGCAAGCGCAGGGGGCAGCAAUUGCAAAUUGCCUCUAGAGAGAUUUAAUCAACGCCCUGCUCUGCAGAAGCAUAGAAAGCCUGGAAGCACCUCUAAAGGAAGAAAUAGCCAGCUCUCUGCCCAGUGCUUUUACAGAUGGGACAGUGGCACCUGCAGAAGGACCACCUUUGCCUUUCUAUAGCACCGAAGGAAUUUUUGGAAGGUCCCACCUGUGUUCUCAGGCCUGUGCUGGUGCUAUGAUAGCUUUCCAAGACAUGGUGGAACAAGUUUGUUUGCUUCUGGCCUCUCCUGGAGAAAGUCACGGGACACUUUGCAUCUGCAUGAGGUCAGAGAUAUGGAGAGCAGGGCUCCAGCAAGCGCUAAGAUUGCUUCAUAUCGUCAGAUCCGUCUUGUCAUCUGACAGCACCUUCCACGUUCUGCUUUUUCAAAAUCUCCUGUGAAAUUCACCCAUUUUGAACAAAUCACUCCUAAACACUUUGCUUCUGAAGAAAAGACUUUUGAGUUAUUUCUAGCAGAGUCCUAUCCCUUGUAAAGGAUCAAAGUGUUUGCGUUACAUAUCAGAUUUCCUAGGGCGUGCUUUGAGAAGACCGCCAGGGCUGAGACCAGGCACUUGUUCUUUGCAUAGAUGUGGCCCAUGAUGUCUAGUGCAGGCUGGAUUAGCAGUGAUCUAUGCCAGUACUUAGACAUUGUGUUCCCUGCAUGAAAGGACGGCAGGAAUGACUCACAUUUGGUCUGCUGGAAGAGAAGCCUGAAGAUUUCCCUGAGAAUUCAAGAUCACUUUGGGCUGGAUUUUUGGGGCUGCCUGUUGACCCGUGGCAUUGAGAGGGCUGAACGCUGAUUUGUAUUUCUCGCAAGGCUGGCAUCUGGGUGCUGAUGUAUCUCUGAAACCUGAAGAAGAGGGGAUGAAGGAAGAAGCUCCUUCAGCAACGUGUAGGGACAGUGCUCUGUGUCUCUAGGGGGACUCCUGGUACAGGAGAAUGAAUCACUGCCUUCGGACCUUUCUCCUUAGCGGAGUGUUGGUCUGUACUGGGUGUCUGCAAGGACAGGCUGGAGAACUGCUGUCCCCUGUACCCACCAGUGCAGAAACCUUGUGGGGAUGAGAAGAGCCCUGGCCACACCAUUGGACUGUGGGGCUGGUGCCUUCCUACCUGCAGCCAGCAAUUGCGUCUCAAGAGGAAAGCAAGCAGCAGUCGGCUAGUUGCUGUUCGGGGAGUGCUAGCAGGUGACAGCGUAUACAAUGACACAGGUUUCGUGUCUCCGGUGGGAUUUCCUUCACUCUGAAUUACUUCCUCUGUACUUGCUGGUGUACGGAUGCUUCACCCCUUGCGUGGGGCUGCAGUUGCAGACGGCUCUGCCCUCGUGUCCAUCACAUGGCCGCCAGGCUGCGUGACUCACACGUGGCUGAAGGGGACAGCAGCGGGUGUGGAUGGCCACACACCCAGGGAGAAGGGCUGGAGACUACAGUAGCAGAGGCAUUUUCCUGCUGCGACAUUCCUCAGGGCUUGUAUUACUCUGCUAAGUGCCCGCAAGGCGAACGUCUGUGACGGAGCUGUGUGCUCGUGUCCUCCCGGAGCCGGCUGCCCUCAGUGGCAGCCUCAUGGGGCGAGGGGAAAUGUCUUGAGCACCCAGAUGUCCCUCUUUCAGUCGGCCUUCUUCUGAGCCACAGCUGAUUGUAGAGCAGUUCCAGGCAUGUGGAAAAUGAUUUCUGGUGCACCUCGCCAAAAUGACUGAAGGUUAUCCAAGGGCUUGAAUCUAGAGUCUGCUUUGUGCCAUGCAUAGCAAACGUUUUGAUCGAAACAUUGGUGUCAGUGAAGGUAAACAAAUAAUACAAAUGGUUAAUUUCCUGUUGGAAGGGAAAGGUUUUGUUUGUUUGUUUGUUUGUUUGUUUGUUUUUCAGUCUCAGAAGUUUUCAGAGCUGAAGAGGGUGGAAUUUUUUAUUGGCUUUUGCACCAUUUCAUGGGAAGUAUUUAUUAGCCCUAAUACUUCAGGCAGCCAGUCUCUAUUUUCCUGCUGGGGUUGCGUCAGUCACUGCAGUAUCGAGAAAAAUCCCCGCCCCCACAAAGCCCCCAGACAUGUGAUGGGAGGAACACAUGGUGGCACUUUCACAGUGGGAACAUCAUGAGUUUCUUCACUUUGCCUGGAAGCAACACCCAGAAAAGCAACACCCUUGUCUAACCGGUGGUCCUGAGGACGCUGCUCCCUGAAGGCACCGCAGGCUGCAGGCUCCCCGGCUGCCCACCCACAGGGACCGUGUCCUUGUCCCCAUGUGUCACCGAGAUGCCAGGUCCCACACCCUGUCCCGCUGCUGGAGGGGGGCCACAGGGAUGUAAUACUCUGGUAUGAGGAGUGAAAGCAGCACCUUUCCCCACACUUGGCAUGUACAGACUGCUGAUGCACCAUGAACAGCUCCAGCACGGUCACCAGAAGUAACAAGGGAGGGCUACUGAAUAACCCGGUGUGUUUCAGCAGCUACAUUGCCCUCUCUCUAGGUAAUAUUUUACUUCUGUUUUCAAGGUUUUGCUGUCCUCGCAUGACAUUACACUGGAGAAUAAAAUAUGUUCUGUCA